rnacentral:SRP_RNA from 1 species
CUGCGCAAACUGCUGCCGGCCGUGGAGGAGGCGAACGAGAUUACGAAGGAGGUGGU